UUACGGCCACAUCAGGUCGAAACACCGAUUCCCGUACGUUCAUCGAUGUUAAGCAACGUCGAGCCUGGUCAGUAUCUAGAUGGGUGAUUGCUUAGGAAAAUCAGGAACUGUAA